GUCCUGCGUGGGAAAGUCCUCUGCAUAUGGAAAUGUUCCACCCAGAAUUGCAGGUCCUAUUGAUCAACAGGACCAUGCCCUUUGCCUGAGAUGCCCCACCUUGACCUCUGCCUGAGGAACUCUGCCUAGGACUGUCACGUUGUCUUUGAGACUCUUGUCCUACCUCCCACUUUUCACUGCAGGAGUUCUCCUGCUUUGUCCUGGCGUAUGUGUACUUCCAGUGAACAUGCUUUGAGCACGCAUGUACUUCCUGCAGAAGAGCUGGCCCUAUUCGGCUUUUUGCUCCCUACACCUCCCAUGGGGCUGUAGGCAAUCGUAAGCUAAAUAGAGUGGCAUUGGCUAACUCACUGAAAGGGCUGGUCUUUCAGCUGUGUGGUUCUGGGAUUGCUUGACUCUUGAAUUCUGUCUUCCCCUCCCUCCCGACUGCUUCCUCUUUCUCCACCUCUUCUUUCUCAAUUGCAGCCUUUCUAAUGCUGGCCCGCGCCUCUUCAUUACUACAGAUUGGCUAUCUUCCAUAGCUACAAUCAUCUGCAGUUCCUUGAGGCGUCUCAGAACUGAAAUAGAUCUUGGCCAUCUUUGCUGCGAGGUGUGAUUGCAGUAGUGACAGUUCCUGUUUCCAAGGCAACAGCUUUCUGGUUAAGAGUAGCAUGCUUAUUGUAGCGAAGCUCCAUUAAGAGAGAGGAGUCUUAUGGCUUCCAUCUCUAUAUUCAAACUUUGUGUGCUUUAUUGCUUAUUAAAGGCCAGUUUACACUGGAACAGGGCAGGCAUAAAACAUCUCUCUACUUGUAGUUUAAAAGCUUUACUGAGCAUGUUCAGCAUACAGAAGGUGAGGACAUAAGGGUUGACAUGACAGCUUUUUUUGGCCUGUGUUGUUAAUCCGCUGGAAGGCACGCUCUUCCAAGUGUUGAAGGGAAGCGGUGGCCAUCGCUUUACAGUAUUUUGUGGCAACAUUUACUAUGCCACAUUCAUAAAGGGGGACGCUGAAUUCCGUGGGUGGUUCACUGGGCCUUCUCGGCGUACCUAAGAUAUUUUGGCUGCUGAAUCUCACCAUUCUUGCCAAGGAGCCAACGGUCCUUUCAUUCUGCAGGAACUGGCCUAGAACUUACUAUGUGGAUAAGGCUGACCUUGGAUUUCUGAUCUUCCUGCCUCCAUCAUGGGCCUGUGCCCCUAAGCCCUGUUUAUUCGAUGCUAGGGACCCAGGACCUCCUGUGAUCCAAGCUACAUCCCAUCCCUUGUGAACCCACUGAAGAACCUAUAAAAUCCGGCUGGAUUACUUUGACCUAAGUGUACGGUCCAGGUGUAGGGAGUCCUGGCUCUGGAGUCUUCUUGAGCUAGAAGACAGACAUCUCAUCACGCUCAGGAGUCGGGGAGAGGUUAAGAUGAUUCUCCUCUUUGAUUCUAUUUUAUUUAGGUUUGUUUGAGUCUUGCUAUGCAGCCCAGGCUGACCUAGAGCUUGUGAUUUUCCGGCCUACGUCCCCUGAGUACUGGGGUUAUAGUAUGCACCCCCACACCAAAUUAAGGGUCUUAUUUUCCAUAUGGUGGGAAAAUUCCGGUGCCUGGAUAAGUAUCACCAUGAUGAUCACACACAGGUGAGGUGAGCACAUGAUGGGAUGGUUUUAAUAUGGCUCCCAUUUUUUAGUGAAGAUGGUUGUUCCUGUUUCUGUCAUCUCGGGUAAAAGUGGUCGGAAGAGAGCACCCACUUUUCCUUCUAAGAGCAUGUUAUAGGGAUUUCGUGGUCCACACCCCGUUGGUCAGAACCAGUCAUAUGCUGACUUACCGGCAAGGGUUCCUGGGAAAUACAAUCUUCACCUAGACAGUGAUGUGCCUGGCUCCGAGUCUGUUACUGUGGAGGAAGUGGAGAGCGUGUGUUCAGGAGACAACCAGGGGCCUCUUCUGGGGAAGGAUGCUGACAUUGGCUUGUUAGCGUCGCUCUGCUGCUGGGGUUUGCACACACAUUUGAAACUGACGCAUAGCUCUUAAAAGGCAUAAUGAUCAUUCAGUGAUAGCCCCAGAAUAUGUCAUACAGUGUUCUUCUUUUUUUGCUUAAUGUGUUGCUCAGACAUCUAUGUUAGGAAAGUAACUUUGGAAUGUACUGUCAUUCUUAAGUUAAAAACAUUUUGCUUUCUUUGAACAUUCUUUUGUGGGAAGGCUGCGCUUAUUUUAGCAAGUAGAAAUUUGCAUAGAGAAUAUCCAUGUGCACCACAAUGAGAAAAAGCUUGGCAAAGGCUGACCUCCAGGGACGAGGUCAAAAUACUUCCUUCUGGAUGGGAAUUUGCUUCUGGCAUUGUGAGUGGUCAGUGAUUAGAGCUGACUUUAGGACGCUGGUUCUAGGCACGGGGCCAACACAUGGAAACCUCACUUGGAACCCCUUACUCCCAUCGCUCGCCGAAUUAAUAUACAGUAUAAUUUGGCUCUGGGCUCUAAAAUAAUUCUGUUAAAGUAGAGCACUAUUUCUUGUUUUUCCACAAGGAGAUGGUGCCAGGACACUGCCUUUAUUCUUGCUGGCUACUUCCUGUCUGGAUUUCGUUUGUUGCUCUCUGCCCAGAGUGUUCUUUCUGUCGGAGGGAACUGUAGCAUGCCUGGGAAGGUUUGCUGGUAUAAAAGUGCAUGAAUAUUUUGUUGUAGUUGGGAGGGGGUGAUGUGUCCCAAAUAUUCGGAUGCUUGUUGUAAAGCUCAGCACACACCAUAUUUGAUAGAUCCUUAGUUGAGAGUUCUAGUUAUGUGUGCAUUUUACACUUCUAUGUUUUCCCUCCAGUGGUUUGUUUUUUUUUUUUCUAUAUCCCAUCACACGUGGAAAAGGUGAUUUUGAUGUUUGAGUCUUUUUGGGUCCUAGUCUCCUCCUAGGGGAGACUUAGAUGUCUAGUCUUUUCUGGUGGUCUGGGAUAAUCCGGCAGGCUGCCCAGUCUCUUCUUGGCUUCAUAUUAUUUAUUGUGGCUCUAAUCAUCUUCUUCUUAUUUUUUGCCUGUUUGACAACAAAACAGUUAGAUUCUCCAGGGUGCCUGUUGUCAUUCUACAGUAAACAGUAGACUCAGCAGUAACCAUAGCUACCACAGAAGACACAGGGCGUUGUCGGCAGUCCUUGGCAAAGAGACCUCAGGUGCCAGUUCUUUUUAGAAGCGGUUGUUCAUCUUCUGGUAUUUUGAGUUGGCAAGAAAGCAUUUGGUAAAUUUCCCUUCAAAUGACUGUUUGGUUCAGGUCUUUGUGAAUGAUAUUAUAAUUUUGUGUGUGUGUGUGGCCUUGAAAUGCAUGAUUUUGCUCAGAUCACACAGUGGCCUGUUUUCUUUAUUAGAACAUCCUCGUUUUAAUAAGCUACUUUCUGCUUAUAGACAAAGGGUGGUUAUCUGCACAGGAGACACUUCAGGAGUUUUAGAGAGAGCCGAGGAAGGCAACCUCUCCUGGUGGUGAUGGUGGUGGGGGUUGGGGCGGAGAGACUUGGUCCCCCAGGGCCCACAGUGGUCUGCAGAGUAUUGUGCCUGUUGAAUCAAUGACCACAAAUCCGAAGACAGUUUUACCAUAAAGGAAAAGAUUUGGAGGUAAAGUGUAAAUUUUCUCAAAUCACCUCAGGAAGGUUGGAUCAUCUUAAACAGGGAUGGGGAUCAGACACCGUGCAGGCACUUGGAAAACCGUGACAAGGCAGAGCUGAGGCCUGAGCAAUUGAAGAAGGAGCACUCCUUCCCAAUUGCAUCUUAAACCCCCAACCCCUUCACUGCCUGUGUGUUUACUUUAAUGAGGAGGCUGACUCUGUCAGCCUAUUGUGUUCUCUGCUAGCCCUGGAAGGGGGAUGGGAGAGCAUGGGUGUGGGGGAGGGAUGAGGAAGAGGAGGAUGUGGGGGAGCAGUGAGGGAGAGAUGGAGAAGCUCUACCCAUGCUUACAGUAGAGCCUGUGAUACCCCGUUCCUAGAGUCCCAAGACUUCAACAACAGUGGACAUUAUCGGCAUCAUAGGAGGGUUGCGUUCAAGGCUGCUUUGCCUAAUCUUUAAGAGCCUGGAAGGAAACUUUUGGGACUAUCUUUUGUCCAGGUUUCAAACAGGAGAUUGUGACCUCAAUCAUGGAGACUUUGGUUUCUUUGUUUUUAGUGUGUUGGAAGUUGGUUCUCAGAGAACAACUGGAGUGUCUCAGGGGUAUCUGCUUAGAGCAACGAUUACAUUCUCAUCCUCCAGAGAGGGCUGAGGAAACAAAAUGGGAGAUUUUAGAAACACCAUUUAAAAGAAGAUGGAGCAAUCACCAGUCAUUAAGGACGUCAAUCAAAGCCACAGAAUGAAGUGCCACUUCAUACUCAUUAAGAUGGCUAUCAAACCAACCAACCCAACAAUCAGUCCAACCAAACAGGAAAUGAUGCUGAUGAGAGCAUGGAGAAGCUGGAACCCUGUGACUUGCUGGGAGGAAUUUAAAAUGGUAUGGACUGUAAAAUGGGACCAUAGUGUGGUUCUUCCUCAAACAAACUGUUUGAACCAGCAACCCAUUUCAGGCAUGUAUGCACAAGAUGUAAGGGCAGAUGCACCGGCAGAAGAUCCUAAGAGAUUAUUCACAAUGUCCCCCAACUGGAAACAAUUCCUACUCCAGUGGUUGAUAGAUGGGUAAACAUAUGUGCUCUGUACACACAGUGGGUUGUUACUUAGCCUUAAGAAGAAUGAGGGUUGAAGAUGUAGCUUAGUGGUGAAGCCUUGUGCCAGCAUUCAGGAGGUCCUAGGGUCAAUCUCCUGAGCUGAAAACAACCAACCAACCAACCAACUAACCAACCAACCAACCAAUCAAUGCCAACCAAACCAGAAUAACAAAAACAAAGUUCUGAACAUGACAGGGCCGAUGUACUCAUGGAAUCCCAGCAGAUGUGGGUACCUGCAUAAGACUUGCACAAGAUGGGCCCUGUCAACAUUUCACCAUGGAUGGGAUAGGGACUUUGAAGGUCCCGCCCCUCCCUGAGGAACUGUUGGCAAUAAUGAUUACCAAGGGAGGAGUCAUUUUCUUCAGCACUGGUAAAUGGCCUAUGUUCCUGUAAAUAACCCCCCACCCAUGGUCGUCUAAGCAACCUUAAUUAAACUUGGUGGGUCACAGCAAAACAAACAAAAGACUGAAAGUGGCUUGCUGGGGAGAGGGGUUUACUGAGUGAGGGAAGAGGAUGGGAGAGGGAAUGGAGGAGGGCUGAGAAAAGACCAAAAUACGUUAUUUACACGGAUGAAACUGUCAAAGAACAUUAAUAAUAAUAAUAAAGGAAUGAGAAACCUGGAUGAAGCCUGAAGGUAUUGUACUGGGAGCAUUAUGUUCAAUAAAAUAAACUGGACAUUUAACUAUGACUUCAUCCUGGUACAUGAGGUAUCCAGGGCGGCCGAUCCCUGGAGAUGGAAGGCAGGAUAGUGGCAGCCAGGUUCUAAGGGAGAGCCCUGGGGUCUGUUGUUUGGAAAGAGUUUCAGAUGAACUCUUGCACAGGUUCUAGAGAUGGAGAACGGUGGUCACUGCACACCGAUGUGAAGGGGCUUCUAUGCCACAGGCUGGCACUUACAGGUAAUUAACUCAUGGAUUUUGGUAUGUAUGUCUUCCUAUAAUGUAGGAGAAAUGUGCUAAAGUAAUAAGUUGUUUUAAGGUGUGAAGAAGAAAGAAAAUGCUACCAAAAGAAAUCAUGAUUCCUCCCUCUCCAAUUCUUUUAGUUUUGCUAAAAAAGCUUAUUUUGUACACUUUUAAUUUUUUUUAAAGACAACCUCUUGACAACUAGUGGUGCUGGACAUGGUGGUGUAUAUGCUGGUCAUCCAACCACUUGAAGUGGAGGUAGGAAGAUUGUGAGACCCGUUCUCAAAGUAACACCCCAAAACAAAAACCCCAAAGACUGUUGUCAAAUGAUGUUGAACUCACAAAUAUCCAGCUCUGCCAGGUAGGUCUUCAUGACUUUACCAGGUGAUUUCCAGGGUAAAAUGGCCUAAAAUAGAUGUUGGCCCCUGACCUGGGCAAGUUCUGUGCAGGUCCCAGGAUGGGUGCAAAUUGAGGGCCCGAGUUUUUAAACCUGAGCCUGUGUUAGCGGAGCGCUCUUGGAAUUGGAUUGGCAUUUCCACGGAGUACUUGGUUAUCAUGGACAACAGCUUCUCUCACUGCUUUGCGAUGUCUACCAGCCCUCUCUCUCCUGAACUUCGGGAGUUCUGAAGCCUGCAGAUAGUGUCUCUCUCUGUAGACCCUGUCUUUAGGCUUUAACCCUGUGAGGUAGCUGAAGCCCUUUAUAGGACAGUUUGCUGUUAAUUGGUGACACCUAGACGUUUUGGGCCAGGGUCAUGUGAUUAGCUCAAAGUUCACAGGAAGUGGUUGACCUAUGCCCUGAGUGGCUUGGCUUGUUUGUAUGCUGCAGCCUUGGGACCCUUCUUUUCCUGUGUUACUUUCUGAAACAGAGAGGCCUUUGCUUUAAAUCUGUUUCUGCUGGGGGUUGUGUUAGCGUGUUUGGCUGUACAUGCCUUCUUCAGAAAGGUCUUAGAAGUCUGUGUCCUAAAAAUGGUGGCUCCUGAAGAUGUUUGAUGGUGCAUUCUGUUUCCUGUUUAUCCUGCUUUGUUUGGUUUCUUUCUGGAUGCAGUGUCGCAGUGUGCCUCGGGUGCGGUGUUGCGGUGUGCCCCGGGUGCGGUGUUGCGGUGCGCCCCGGGUGCGGUGCCGCGGUGCGCCCCGGGGUGCCGCAGUGUGCCUUAGUCUCGUUUUCAGGUAGGGAGGGUGUGUCGGGAUGUCUGAUGUUUGGCUGGCCUGUGCUCACAUGUGUCUCCUGUGAACCUGUUAGUGAGUACAGAUGACGUUUUGGAACCUUUAGAUUAAAAGGUCCUUCAAAGACACAAACUGGACCAGAGGAGUCUUUCCUAGGGAGACGCCUGAGUGCUGAGGUUUUGUUCUUCCCCGCCCUGGAGUUCAGAAUCCCAGACUAGACUAGCCUGAUCCAUUGUUACGGUUGCUAAGCUCCUCCUUCAUCUGACUGCUGCUUUUUCUUUCUUUCCCUGCGGAUUUUAGAUUGCCUGCUUCUCUAGAGAAUUCCGUGAAAGUGCUGUGUAUUCCGUAGAGUUCUACUGUAGCUUUGAAUAUGGCUUCAUAGUUCAUCCAUACAUUUUUUUUCUGAAAUCAUUCAUAUUAAAAAUAGUCCCCACAAAGAAAGUAUAAAUUUAGAGUAUUUCAAGAUUCCUUUCCCAAUUAUUUUUGUAGUUUUAUACCAGAUACGUCGAGUCCCUCUUCCUGAGCAAUGCACAUAGGCGGAGUUCCACCUUGCUUUUAUCUAGUGAAAAGUCCUUAAGCAAGGACAGUGUCCUGCUGUUUGCGUUAUGUCAUGACAGGGGUGCUGUGAGCUCAGCCAGCGUUCCAGGCCUGCCCUCCUGGCUCACUUGUUUGGGACAAUGCGUGGUUGUUAGUGGGACACCCUGGCUGGGGACCUUGACCACUCCUUUCUACACCGUCAGGAGUAUCAGUACUGAAGUGAAACGGUGAAGGAGCAACCUGGCAAAAAGGAACUUCCGAGCGCUGCCCAAGACAGGCCUGUAGUCUUCUCACACACUCCUAACUUGUAAUUUUCAGAUUCUCCGUUCUGAAUUAUGUCAGUUAAAGGCAUGCUGGGUCUGUUUUCGUUCUGCUAGGUAAGCAGGAUUCCUAGUUCAUAUUCAAGCAAGAGCCUGCAUGGUUGUUAAGUUGUGUUCCCCUCUGCCCCCUCAGUAUUGUUGAGGCAAAACAUAAUUGAGCGCAUGAUUCUUCUCGUGUGACUGAGGCCUCAGAUGGCCAUAUUUUGUCCAUGAUUUUUGUCAUUUAGCUCAUGUGUCUCAAAUGAGCGGAUUGUGGCAUGCUGAGGCGAGCCCCUUAGGUAGCUAAGCCUCUGCAUGGUGGAUAUUGGUCCCAGAUGGAUGGUCCAUGGUUUGGACAUCCACAGGGAGACAGACUAAAGUCCCUCUUACUCCAUGCCCCAUGCUUUUGUUUGAAUUAUCUUAAUUACUUCCUUUUCUGAAGACUACCUUUUUAGACUUCUUAGAGAGUCCUGUGUUUCUGGACCUCAGUAGUGGAAUACCUGCCUAUGGGUUCAGCCAAGGAGAGAUGGACUGUUACCCUGUUCAUCUCUUCCUCACAUUCACACCUUAGGGCCCUCCUUGGCUUCCCUAAAGUGGAUGUUACCCUGGUGCAGACAGCUGUGGUCCAGGACCUUUGGGCAGCACACUGGACAACUGUCUCAGGAAUUGCUUUUGGGUGUGUUUCACGGAUGGGACCAGGAGCAUUUUGAAUAGAGUAGAUGACAGGUAUGCACCUCAUUGGAUUUCUCUAGGAGUAUCAAUUUUAUUUAAUUACUCAAAAUGCUUUUUAUUAGCAUAUACUAAUUAUCCAUAAUAAUUGGUUUCAUUAUGACAUUUUCAUACAUAUACAUAAUGCGUUUCAAUCAUUUUCACCCUCUCUUGCUUCUGUAACUCUUGUUAAUCCCCUUCCUCUUCCAUGAAAGUUCGUGUUUUUUUUUUUAAACAACUCAGUGAGUUUCCUUAGGGUGGUUUGCAGGAGCCUGGGUGGGAGUUUAUUUUUAGGAGCACGGGUAGUACCAGUGGCUACACUUCUGAUGAAGAUGUCUGUCUGCGCCCAUCAGCUCUUAUCUGUAUAAGAACUCAGGGAGAGGUGAGGCCUUGUGAGCCCCUCCCCCUCCCAUGGCAGGGUGGUAGGCCCAGUCUUGUAGAGAUCUUGUGCAGGUAAUUACAUCUGCUGUGAGUUCAAAAGUACAGCAAAUACACUAUGCCAGGAAAUGAGAUCUCUUUACCACUCCCCCACCCUCCUGCCCUCACCUUCUUCUGGCUUUUAUAGUCUUUCUGUGUUCUUCAAUAAUAAUAAUGGACUAUCAGCUUUAGACUUA